GUUUAUACUACACAGUAAAAAACGUUGGGUUGUUUUUUUAACCCAACCGUUGGGUUACACAUAUUGGGUCAUUGUGUUGGGUUAUCUUAAAAUUUGUUGGGUCAUUUAUUUUCGGCGUUGGGUUAUUUUUAGUUAUAACCCAACUGUUGGGUUAAAUAUGGUUCCCGCUUCACUUCGGUUCAAAUUUUAACGGUCCAGUCAGCGACUCAGUGGACAUUAGCGGCAGCCUGCCUGAUUAUGAAAGAUAAAUGGAUUUCUUUGUAAAGAAAAGAUUACAACAGCGGAACCUCUGCAAUUUAAUAGAAACAUUUCAAGGUUGUUACUAAUAUGGUGCACUACCUCAACAAUGAGACAAGCCAGGAUCCACAUGUCUUGGUGCUUGGAGACAAAGAAAAUUCCUCCCAAGUUUUCAUCAUAUUCAUUGGAGAGGCAGUUGAAAAGGAGACCUUACUUCAAGCAGUGAAUGAAUGCUUCAAAAUGUUCUACAUCUAUGACGUAAACUACCCAAAGCCCUCUGCUCCAAUUUGGGAGUUCUUGCAGCAUAUAAUAUUCCUGGAGGAGUUCCUUGCUGCCUCCUAAAAAACUUUGUAUUCAAAGUUACUGAUCAUCAGUUGAUCCAGUAGCCAAAACACACGUUUAAGGGUUAGUUCACCCACAAAUGAAAAUUAUGUCAUUAAUCACUC